rnacentral:rRNA from 1 species
UACGUAGGUGGCAAGCGUUGUCCGGAUUUACUGGGCGUAAAGAGCGCGCAGGCGGCUGGUCAAGUCCGAUGUGAAAGCUCCCGGCUUAACUGGGAAACGGCAUCGGAAACUGAUCGGCUUGAAGGUGGGAGAGGGUAGUGGAAUUCCAGGUGUAGCGGUGAAAUGCGUAGAUAUCUGGAGGAACACCGGUGGCGAAGGCGGCAUCCUGGACCGGCAUUGACGCUGAGGCGCGAAAGCCAGGGGAGCAAACGGG